GAUGAACGCUAGCGGCAGGCUUAACACAUGCAAGUCGAGGGGUAUGCCGAUUUAUCGGCAGAGACCGGCGCACGGGUGCGUAACGCGUAUGCAAUCUACCUUUCACAGAGGGAUAGCCCAGAGAAAUUUGGAUUAAUACCUCAUAGUAUAGCAGUUUCGCAUGAAACCACUAUUAAAGUUCCAACGGUGAAAGAUGAGCAUGCGUCCCAUUAGCUAGAUGGUAAGGUAACGGCUUACCAUGGCUACGAUGGGUAGGGGUCCUGAGAGGGAGAUCCCCCACACUGGUACUGAGACACGGACCAGACUCCUACGGGAGGCAGCAGUGAGGAAUAUUGGUCAAUGGACGCAAGUCUGAACCAGCCAUGCCGCGUGCAGGAUGACGGUCCUAUGGGUUGUAAACUGCUUUUGUACCGGAAUAAACCCUUUACGUGUAAGAGGCUGAAUGUACGGUAGAAUAAGAUCGGCUAAACUCCGUGCCAGCAGCCG
rnacentral:rRNA from 1 species